AUUAUUAGUGCAGCAAAAGGCAUGACUGCAUCUGGGUGUCCCCUAGCAGACAGCAUUUGUUUAGUAAUGCCAUAGCUUGCUGUUAUCACCAGCCUGAGCAGCAACACAGAUCAGAUCCAGACAGCACCUUACCUGUCCUGCUCAGCCUGCUCUCUGCUGGGAGCCAUGGGAAAGAGCAGCUGUGGCUUUUAGUGCUAGCCCUGUGGUUGGCUCUGCUGUGGGCCCUGCAGGGGUGGCACAGCCAGCCCUUAGCACAGGAAGUUUGGGUUCCUAGAAUCAAUGGGGGCUUCGAUCUCCAUGUACUGGAGCGCAGCAGCCGGAGGAACCCUACGUGGAGGGGCCAGGGUGGUUCUUCCCCAGCACAGCCCCUGUGUGAGGAAGUGCAGGGCAGGGCUGGGAUGGGCCUUGAGCCCCUCCUUGAGACACAGCUGAGGAGACGAGAGAGUUUGUUGUGCUUUAUUUAGUAAAGUGUUAAAAUAAAUAAAUACAAAUCGAUCAGGUGCUCUGUACCCCCAUCCCCCCCACCCCUUCCCAGUUUAAUUUGCUAAAAUCUAAACACAUUUGUACCAAAACUGAAACCAGCAGGGACCUGAAGGCAACAAAGAGCCUGCAGGUCACUAUCAGCGUCAGGAUUUAAAAAAAAAAAAAAAGAUAUAUAUAAAAAUCACCAUCCAGCUCCUGUGUGGGUGCUCUCAUGUGUGGUGCUGUGAGAACAUCGGGGCACUGCUCAGGGUGCUGCACGGGAGGUCUGCAGUGACAGGAACCUGCCAGGGGGCUGCUCCCAGCCCUGGUGAGUGGUGGAAGCAGUGGCUGAAGGGCCACAGAGCAGAGCUGGGGUGGCCCAGCAGGGUUCCUCACCUGUGGCAGUGCCCUGAAGCCGUGGCUGAGCUGGCAGCUCGUGGUCCCGGGGCUGAGCCUGGGGCCGGUGUGGAGCAGAGUCCUCGGAGGAAGCCGUGGCUGCGUCACAGCAGUGACUUGGGCAGCGUGCCUGAUGGAAGGAGGGCUGAUGGGUGAGGCACUGCCCCCGGCUCUAGAGGCAGCCACCGCUUUGAUACCAGCGGUAAUUAAAGGAAAGAACUACGUGAGACUAAGAUUAGAAGUUGCACAUCAUCCUAGAACAAGCAGAAACACGCAGCCUGCUGCUGAUACCGCCCCUAUUCAGCACUGCCUGCUUGCAGCACCUGCAGCCCAAGAGAAGUGGUGCUUGAUGUGGCCAUCAGCUGUUGCACAGCAGGGAAAACAAGGCAUGGAGGGGGCCUUCCAUUCUUGUAAGUAAAUGCUCCCCUUCCUCCCUCUUGGCACACUCUGACUCAUGGUGGCACAGCUUCUUCCUCCGGACACUGAGGGCCCAAACCUGAGGCUGUGUGCUGGGGUGAGACCUGCCAAUGCGGUGUUUUGUUACCCAGUGGCACCCAGAAGGGCUCUCCCAAAGUUUGGGCAACACCGUUUCUAUCUCAGUGACAGAAGGGAGAAGGCAGGCAACACAAGGGUUGGGUUCUUGUGCAUCCUGGUGUAGGUUCAGGAAUAAGAUAAAAGCUGCAAACUGCCACAGCCCAAUAGUUCAUGCUGCUCCCUGCUGCUGGCUUUCCCUGCCAUCUCUCUCAGGAGCCUAGGAGCUCCUGUCACUGAGCAAAGAGGUCCUUUAGUCCUUCUUCCUCCUUAUGUGUGGGUUGGACUGAGUUUCUAGGGUGUUUGACACUUGCUUGGGUAUGAUGGUGAAGAACAGCACUAGAGCCUGCUGCCCUCCUGCCACCUGGCUGCAAGCAGCUCUCCGGGCUCAGUCCUUGCAGUGACCUUACAGCUGGUACACCUCACCACGCUGCUGGACCGCCCCUCCACAGGGGUAUAUAGGAAACUGGGUGCAGAAAGGCAGCAGAAGCAGAGCUGAGGUGGUGUGGUGCUUGUUUCCUUCUCCAUCUGCAGCCUAAAAACUCUUCUCCUGCUGCACUUUGUCUUUUUAGAGUACAGAUCAACCCACAUCACAAACCAAGGUAGGACAAAGAGCUCUUUUGUUCCAGUCCUUCCGCUCAACUCACAAACCUUGUAGCUGCAGCUGUCACUCCUGGAUCUUUCCUGCCUUCACCUUCCCUGUUUCUCACGUGUUCCCAUGUCUUCUCCCUGCUCUCCCUUACCCCAAAUACCCUUCCUUUCAGCUCUUCCUGCCUCCUCUCGUACCUCCCUCUGUCUCCAGACCCAUUCUCUGAUCCCUGCGGCACCCACCACUGGCACAGGGUGAGGAGAGGCCCCCGAGACCCCGUCCUUGUGUGGUGAUCUCCAGGAUAGCCAUUGCCCCAGCACAGAGGCCCUUGGCUGGGCUGUUCUCUGCGUGCUCCUCACGUAGCUGUGUCACACUGGCAGGAUGCUGGCAGACCCUCACACAGGUGUUACAAACAAGACUGAGGCUCAAAGAAGGAUCUGAGUAAGACGGCAAUAACCUGGAGACGGCUGCAGCUCUUGUGUUUUCCUGAUCCCCCUGAUUUUUAGGGCAUUCCCUGGCCCAGGUCUGAUCAAUGAAAGCAAAUGUUUGACAAUGCGCUGCUGUAAGGCUCGCUCGCACGCAUUCAGAGGCCGGCACCUAGCUGGCUGCUUGCAAGGCUUCUUUGGAGACAUUUUGCCUUCUGGAUAAUGGAAACUACAGAAUCCACGCGGUGCUCAGGAAUGGCCUUUGCUGAGGUAGUUUGUUGGCCAGGCAAGCCUCAGUGCCAAAUGAAUCAGCUGCACGACACAGUGCUGCUGUCUUUCUCCAGGUUCCUGACUCUUCAGCAGAGUUUCUACAAACGUGUCUAUCAGAAAACUCUCUGCAGUAACCCAGCAAGGCUGACCUUGCCCCAGAUCUUCAGAAUCCCAAAGGAGGACAAAAUGGAGGUGAAGAAGGGUCAGAACAGUUCUGAAAAGACACAACGAAGUCUGCCCGAAGGGGCAUGGUCCACCAGGAAGUGUAAUAUCAGUAUUUGAGUUGUUAUCUGAGCAGCUGGCGGAGGGAAGCCCCCAGUGAAAGAGUGAAUCUGGUUUGACAUCUGAAUAUGAUCUUCUAAAAACACAUUUCAUUAAAAAAACAUAUAUUCGUCACCAGUGCUUCAGAAGCAAAAGAGGGCAGGGGCCCUACUCAGCUGGGAAACAAAAGGAAAGAGAAAUGUGCACUGCAAAGUCACAGGUAUUUUCCACUGCAUCCACAGGAGAAGGAGAUGUCAGAGUUCACUCCCUGUAUUGUGGGCUGCCACAGCACGGUGCGACCAAGAGGGAGACUUCAAUGUUGACCAUAUUGCUUUUUGGGGCUGCCUCUGCCUCCGUCCAUGGAAGAUGAUGAUUUUGAAGCCAAGGAGGCCAGAAUUAGGGUCUAUACACCUAGACAGCUGGAAUACAGAUUUGCUCUCUCAAGCCUGGUCUGUUGGGAGGGAUAAAAUACCAGGCCAUUUUUUCUGCCAUCAAAACAACCAACACUGUGCCUGUAAAAUUCUUACCUCUUUAAUUUCUCAGCAGGUGUCUUUUAGCUCAUGUCCCCACUGACAGAAAUUCACUUGUUUAAAGGACAAAAUCUUUGUUCUGUUCAUGCAAACUGUUGGUUCCUCCUACUGCCAUGGUGACUCUUGGCUAAUGAAGAACCAUCUGCACCACUCAUCCCUGGAACGAUUGCCUUCACCGCAUUUUGCACAGCGCUAAAAGUUCCGCUGGCACUAAACGAAGAUAAAGAGGAUCUAAUGGUAGCACUAAUUCUUCUGGCCAGAUCACAUGCUCGUUUUCAGGCUUUGACCACACCAUACUUUUCCAGCUGCUUAAAGAACAGAUUGCGAGGAGAAGGGGAAAACUGUUUCUGCAAUUCUUAUUCUAUUUCUGAGCAGUUAAAGCAGCAGGAGGACUUCUGAAAGCCCUUAGCACUAGGCUGAGUGCCAGGAACAUCUCUGAGAGGAGCUUCCUCUGUGGUCUCAUCUUCUUCUCCUUUACGAGUGAGACUUAAAAGCCACUUACUUCCCACUAAUGACAAGCGAUGACAUAAGAAUUAGUUGUUACCUUUAUGGUGGUUUGGAAAUACAAAAUGCCAGUCAUUAGGACAGCUUCUUGAAGAGAAGUUCUAAUACCAACUCAGCCUGUCUCAAAUGUUGCAUGAGAGAAAAACAAAACAGAACAAAACCACAACACCCAACAAAUCCAAAAGAAAAGCUUGAACUUAAACUUGUCAAAAAGUUUGAAUUUUGCCCUUUGUUGGAAACUCUGAGAG